UGGGGAAUAUUGCACAAUGGACGGAAGUUUGAUGCAGCGACGCCGCGUGGAGGGUGUAGGCCUUCGGGUUGUGAACUCCUUUUUCUCGCGAAAAAGGCACAGUUUUGGCUGUGUUGAUGGUAGUGGGGGAAGAAGCGCCGGCUAACUACGUGCCAGCAGCCGCGGUAAUACGUAGGGCGCGAGCGUUGUCCGGAUUUAUUGGGCGUAAAGAGCUCGUAGGUGGUUCGUCGCGUCUGUCGUGAAAGCCAGCAGCUUAACUGUUGGUCUGCGGUGGGUACGGGAGGGCUUGAGUGCGGUAGGGGUGACUGGAAUUCCUGGUGUAGCGGUGGAAUGCGCAGAUAUCAGGAGGAACACCGAUGGCGAAGGCAGGUCACUGGGCCGUUACUGACACUGAGGAGCGAAAGCGUGGGGAGCGAACAGG
rnacentral:rRNA from 1 species